rnacentral:rRNA from 1 species
UACGAAGGAUGCAAGCGUUACUCGGAAUUACUGGGCGUAAAGCGUGCGUAGGUGGUUCGUUAAGUCUGCCGUGAAAGCCCCGGGCUCAACCUGGGAAUUGCAUUCGAGACUGAAUAGCUAGGGUACGGUAGAGGGAAGUGGAAUUUCCGGUGUAGCGGUGAAAUGCGUAGAUAUCGGAAGGAACAUCAGUGGCGAAAGCGACUUCCUGGACCAGUACCGACGUUCAGGCACGAAAGCGUGGGGAGCAAACAGG